ensembl:lncRNA
CGCACUUUAUGCGUAAAGUUACUCACAGGAGAGAAGUGCAGGAGAUCCCGGAAAUUAUGGAGCAUCAAAUGUUUGGCGCGGAUAGCGGAGGUAAUGGAAAUAAUGAGAAAAGAAGAAAAGUGUGGAUUAUGUCUUUGAAACUGACGAUGAAAAGGGAAAUCUUCUGGCAAGAAGAAACAUAAGGUGUGAAUAUAACCUCAUGAUCGUCCAGAUCUCCAGACAGAAACUCACAUCCUCCUCAAAGAUCCAGUCAAGCGUCACAAUAUAAAUGCUGCUUGAUUCUGCAAACACAACAAUGCAGACUCAUUGUCUAAUUGUGAAUGAACAUGAUAAAUAAAGUCAAAUAAACAUCUACUUCAGCC